UGGACGGUUACUCUAAUCUCAACUGAUAGGCUGAUCCACAAACUCCGUUCACACUCCUGCGCAGUAAAAUAACACAUCACAAUUUCACUAAGACAAGACAGUCAAGAAGUGGUCAUCAAAAUGUUUUCUACGAGGAACUUGGACACAUUAAUUGUAAUAAUUUUCCUUUCCAUGUUAUGUUAUUCUUUGAAGUCUGAAGCAAAACCACUGGGAAAGCGAUCCAUAAGUGAAGUACAGUUCAUGCACAACCUUGGAGAACACAAACAUGUGCAAGGGAGACAGCACUGGCUUCGGAUGAAGUUGAAAGACAUCCACACAGCGUCGCUGAGAAAUACUGACAGGGGAGAACGAGUUAGAGCAAGGAGGCUCCUUCCCGAAGAUUUUCCGGUACUGGACGAGUUAACACCCAGUGAAGUCGAAUAUAUAUUGAACUCUCUGGAAAAGUUUCUGAAUUAUCGGCAAAAUUGAAUGUGUGUCUAAGGGCAACGAGGAAACUAAAUGUCUAAAACGAUGGCCUUAUUUUUUUAAAUUUUAGUUUAUUUUGUUGGCAGAUGAUAUUUUAGUAUUCAAAGAAAGGUGUGCAUUACAAACGCUAAGCCAUUUAUGCACCUGCAAAAGCACUUUAUUUAUUCCUGAAAUUUUGAAUGACGGAUGUGACCAUUUUAGAUUAUUUAUUUUUAUCAAUAUUUAUUUUAAACCGAAUACAAAACAAAUACGUGUAUUAAGAAUAUAGGAC